rnacentral:ncRNA from 1 species
GCGAACGGGUGAGUAACACGUGGAUAACCUGCCUCAAGGCUGGGGAUAACAUUUGGAAACAGAUGCUAAUACCGAAUAAAACUUAGUAUCGCAUGAUAUCAAGUUAAAAGGCGCUACGGCGUCACCUAGAGAUGGAUCCGCGGUGCAUUAGUUAGUUGGUGGGGUAAAGGCUUACCAAGACGAUGAUGCAUAGCCGAGUUGAGAGACUGAUCGCCACAUUGGGACUGAGACACGGCCCAAACUCCUACGGGAGGCUGCAGUAGGGAAUCUUCCACAAUGGGCGCAAGCCUGAUGGAGCAACGCCGCGUGUGUGAUGAAGGCUUUCGGGUCGUAAAGCACUGUUGUAUGGGAAGAAAUGCUAAAAUAGGGAAUGAUUUUAGUUUGACGGUACCAUACCAGAAAGGGACGGCUAAAUACGUGCCAGCAG